rnacentral:rRNA from 1 species
GAUCAUGGCUCAGGAUGAACGCUAGCUACAGGCUUAACACAUGCAAGUCGAGGGGCAGCAUGAUCUUAGCUUGCUAAGAUGAUGGCGACCGGCGCACGGGUGAGUAACGCGUAUCCAACCUUCCCCUUAGUAGGGCAUAGCCCGUAGAAAUGCGGAUUAAUACCCUAUGUUGUAUAUUGAGGACAUCUGAUUUAUACCAAAGGUUUACCGCUAAGGGAUGGGGAUGCGUCUGAUUAGGUUGUUGGCGGGGUAACGGCCCACCAAGCCGACGAUCAGUAGGGGUUCUGAGAGGAAGGUCCCCCACAUUGGAACUGAGACACGGUCCAAACUCCUACGGGAGGCAGCAGUGAGGAAUAUUGGUCAAUGGACGAGAGUCUGAACCAGCCAAGUAAGCGUGCAGGAUGACGGCCCUAUGGGUUGUAAACUGCUUUUAUACGGGGAUAAAGUGACCCACGUGUGGGUUUUUGUAGGUACCGUAUGAAUAAGGACCGGCUAAUUCCGUGCCAGCAGCAGC